UGUGUGUGUGUGUGUGUAUGCAAACUGAUAAGUUGUGUUUUCAAUUUUAUAUUUUUAUUCAUCAUUCAGUUUAUUUUCUUGCUUCCCACUACAUUAUAAUGAGCAGAGAAAAAACAAAGUUUUACCAGCAAAAAUUCCGAAAGGAAUGGCUUAAGAUGCCAGCAUUUACUAAGUGGUUGUGUGAAGUACCUAGUGACCAAUCUAAAGCACAUUGCAGAUAUUGGAGAUGUAAUAUGUUGGCAAAAUAUUCUCUUUUAGUAAACUACUGUGAAGCGAAGUAACAUAAGGCAUCAGCUCCACAGCAAAUGAUUCCUCUUAAAAAUAAGACAUCUAUAUUUGAGGCAAAUUUAGCAAUGUUUGUUUGUUGCCACUCAUCAUUUAA